rnacentral:rRNA from 1 species
UAACACGUGGAUAAUCUGCCCUGCACAGGGGGACAACAGCUAGAAAUGGCUGCUAAUACCGCAUAAGCCUACAGCCUCGCAUGAGGGAGUAGGAAAAGAAAUUCGGUGCAGGAUGAGUCCGCGUCUGAUUAGCUAGUUGGAGGGGUAAGAGCCCACCAAGGCAACGAUCAGUAGCCGGCCUGAGAGGGCGACCGGCCACAUUGGGACUGAGACACGGCCCAAACUCCUACGGGAGGCAGCAG